GAGGGGUAUAGGUUUUCGGACCUAGAGACCGGCGCACGGGUGCGUAACGCGUAUGCAAUCUACCUUUUACAGAGGGAUAGCCCAGAGAAAUUUGGAUUAAUACCUCAUAGUAUUACGACUCGGCAUCGAGAUGUAAUUAAAGUCACAACGGUAAAAGAUGAGCAUGCGUCCCAUUAGCUAGUUGGUAAGGUAACGGCUUACCAAGGCAACGAUGGGUAGGGGUCCUGAGAGGGAGAUCCCCCACACUGGUACUGAGACACGGACCAGACUCCUACGGGAGGCAGCAGUGAGGAAUAUUGGUCAAUGGGCGCAAGCCUGAACCAGCCAUGCCGCGUGCAGGAUGAAGCAUCUAUGGUGUGUAAACUGCUUUUGUACGAGAAGAAACACUCCUACGUGUAGGAGCUUGACGGUAUCGUAAGAAUAAGGACCGGCUAACUCCGUGCCAGCAGCCGCGGUAAUACGGAGGGUCCAAGCGUUAUCCGGAAUCAUUGGGUUUAAAGGGUCCGUAGGCGGUUUAGUAAGUCAGUGGUGAAAGCCCAUCGCUCAACGGUGGAACGGCCAUUGAUACUGCUAGACUUGAAUUAUUAGGAAGUAACUAGAAUAUGUAGUGUAGCGGUGAAAUGCUUAGAGAUUACAUGGAAUACCAAUUGCGAAGGCAGGUUACUACUAAUGGAUUGACGCUGAUGGACGAAAGCGUGGGGAGCGAACAGGAUUAGAUACCCUGGUAGUCCACGCCGUAAACGAUGGAUACUAGCUGUUCGGAGCAAUCUGAGUGGCUAAGCGAAAGUGAUAAGUAUCCCACCUGGGGAGUACGUUCGC
rnacentral:rRNA from 1 species